UACGGAGGGUGCAAGCGUUGUUCGGAAUUAUUGGGCGUAAAGCGCGUGUAGGCGGUUUGGUAAGUCUGAUGUGAAAGCCCUGGGCUCAACCCAGGAAGUGCAUUGGAUACUGUCAGACUUGAGUACGGGAGAGGGUAGUGGAAUUCCCAGUGUAGGAGUGAAAUCCGUAGAUAUUGGGAGGAACACCGGUGGCGAAGGCGGCUACCUGGACCGAUACUGACGCUGAGACGCGAAAGCGUGGGGAGCAAACAGG
rnacentral:rRNA from 1 species